GUUAGGAAUAUUGGACAAUGGGCGAAAGCCUGAUCCAGCCAUGCCGCGUGAACGAUGAAGGCCUUCGGGUUGUAAAGUUCUUUAGCCGAUGAUUAUAAUGACUGUAGUCGGAAAAUAAGCCCCGGCUAACUUCGUGCCAGCAGCCGCGGUAAUACGAAGGGGGCGAGCGUUAUUCGGAAUCACUGGGCGUAAAGCGUGCGUAGGCGGUUUUGUAAGUUAGGAGUGAAAGCCCAGGGCUCAACCUUGGAAUUGCUCUUAAAACUGCAAGGCUCGAAUCUCGGAGAGGAUAGCGGAAUUUCCAGUGUAGCAGUGAAAUGCGUAUAUAUUGGAAGGAACACCAGUGGCGUAAGCGGCUAUCUGGACGAGUAUUGACGCUGAGGCACGAAAGCGUGGGGAUCAAACAGGAUUAGAAACCCUGGUAGUCC
rnacentral:rRNA from 1 species